GCACUACGUGAGUCUUGCCGCUUGUAAAAAUUCUCACUGAAUAUUGUCCCCCGUAGGUAUGACCGGGAACACUGGCGUUGAAAGCUAUAGAGCUGUUCUUAAUUCAAAGCAAGCCUUUGGCAGACAACUUCAGACUGCGAUUUGUGACGACUCCUUCGAAGACCUGUGGAACGCACUGAACAGGCACAAUGAUGCGACGGACUUCACUGGUCAUACACAUGUCACUGAAAGCGGUAUCACCAGUUCCCUACCUAUGGUGUUCAGCAACAGCAUCAAUCAUGCACU